UACGGGGGGUCCAAGCGUUGUUCGGAAUCACUGGGCGUAAAGCGCAUGUAGGUGGCUUUUCAAGUCAACUGUGAAAGCCCAGGGCCUAACCCUGGAAGUGCAGUUGAUACUGUUGAGCUUGAGUACGAGAGAGGAUAGUGGAAUUUCUGGUGUAGUGGUGAAAUACGUAGAUAUCAGAAGAAACAUCGGUGGCGAAGGCGGCUAUCUGGCUCGAUACUGACACUGAGAUGCGAAAGCGUGGGGAUCAAACAGG
rnacentral:rRNA from 1 species